AAUUAAAAUAUUUUUGCAUAAAAAUGUAAAUAAAGAUGUGCUUAAUGUUGUUUCAUAAAAAUAUUAUUGGAAAAUAUGAAAUUUAUAGCAAAAAAAGUGUUUUAAAAUUUGCCAAAAAAUACGAAGGCAAAUAAGUUUUGGCCGAGUUUGUGUUUGUUCUUUUUUAUGUAAAAUAGAAAAAAAAAAAAUAAAUAAAAAUAUUUUUGCAUAAAAAUGUAAAUAAGGAUAUGCUUAAUGUUAUUUCAUAAAUAUAUUAUUGGAAAAUAUGAAAUUUAUAACAAAAAAAAAUAUUUUAAAAUUUGCUAAAAAAAUACGAAGGCAAUUGUUGGCCGAGUUUGUGUGUUUGUAAAAUAGAAAAGAAGGAGUAGAGAGGGAGGUGAAAUUUAGAGAGAUGCUAUUUUGUUGUUGUUCUUGAAUACCUAUGUAUGUAGUAAGUGUUUUUUGUUUUUGUUUAUGAAUAAAAAAACUGCAGUACCUAUAAGUAAAUGGCGCACUUUUCUCUUUGACUUCACACCAAUUGUUUGACAGUUUCUUUAGUUCGAGCUUAUAUUGAAAAUUUUUCGGGUGUUUAGAGAGAUUCGCAGUGAUAUUAAUAAUAGUUUUAUAUAGAAAAAAUGCAUAAAAUUAAAAUAUUUUUGCAUAAAAAUGUAAAUAAAGAUGUGCUUAAUGUUAUUUCAUAAAAAUAUUAUUGGAAAAUAUAAAAUUUAUAACAAAAAAAGUGUUUUAAAAUUUGCAAAAAAGAAAAAUACGAAGGCAAUUGUUGGCCGAGAUUGUAUGUUUGUUUGAGGGAGAAGAAAUUUAGUGAGAUGCUGUUUUGUUGUUGCUAUUGCAAAGGUGCAUUCAUGUUUUUUCUUUUAUAACUAUGCUGGGAAGAAGUGGAAAAGAUUUUCCGUAACAACACAGAAUAAAGGAUGACAAGGCCGAUGAAAUGGUUUGCCUCAAGUUUUUGCAAACUUUGUGUGAUCAUUAACCAAAAUCAGCACUAAACAAAAGUCAUCAGUUAAAUCAGCAGAUUAUUACUUUUGAAGCUUAAAAAAGGAUAAUAUUUGUUCAGCAAGACUUGAACUAAGAAUAAUUCACGUGGAAAUUUAUAAAUUUUAAUUAAAAAAUAUAAAAUUAAAUAACAUAAAUAACAUUUAAAAA